UCAGUGUGGCCUGAAUCUCUCCUGCUCCUUUGUUCUCUUUGGGCUUCACAGGAGAUGUCUGGUGAACGGCCUGUGGACUCUGUGCCCCGCACCGCUCCGAAAUUAUUCGCUACCUUGAAAGAAACAGGGCACAGCUCAGCCUGUCUCUGGCCCAGCCUCUUCCACAGACGUAUGCUGCAGCCAGCCCAGCUCAGAGAGCAGUGGGGACACAUGAUCUCAUCCUGUCAAACCAAGCAACAUGGGUCCCAUUGAGGCUUAGAUGGAAGAUCCCAGGUAUCUCGUGGAGAGGACGUGUCUGGGAUCCUGGAGACUGUUUCCUGCUGGAGGUUUGAGCGGGGAGAGAUCACUCAGAAGAUCACUCGGGUCUGCAGGGUUCAUGGGAGCAGCCACACUCCAGCAGGCCAUCUGGAAGCCUACUAAAAACUGCUUACCUACGACUUACAAAGUCCAGACCCAGUUUGAGGCUCCAUCCCUGAGGCCUAUUGGCAGAGUCCCAGAGCAGCUAAUCGGCCCCCGGGACCUCCUUAAACCAACAGCAGGAACAAGAAGCUGUCUGCUCA